GGUCCAGACUCCUACGGGAGGCAGCAGUGGGGAAUAUUGCACAAUGGGGGAAACCCUGAUGCAGCAACGCCGCGUGGGUGAAGGAGCGUUUCGGCGCGUAAAUCCCUGUCAGCGGGGAAGAAGAAAGACGGUACCCGACCAAGAAGCCCCGGCUAACUACGUGCCAGCAGCCGCGGUAAUACGUAGGUGGCAAGCGUUAUCCGGAUUUAUUGGGUGUAAAGGGCGUGUAGGCGGGAGCGCAAGUCAGAUGUGAAAACUCAGGGCUCAACCCUGAGCCUGCAUUUGAAACUGUGUUUCUUGAGUGCUGGAGAGGCAAUCGGAAUUCCGUGUGUAGCGGUGAAAUGCGUAGAUAUACGGAGGAACACCAGUGGCGAAGGCGGAUUGCUGGACAGUAACUGACGCUGAGGCGCGAAAGCGUGGGGAGCAAACAGGAUUAGAUACCCCAGUA
rnacentral:rRNA from 1 species